GAGGAAUAUUGGUCAAUGGGCGAAAGCCUGAACCAGCCAUGUCGCGUGCAGGAUAACGGCCCUACGGGUUGUAAACUGCUUUUUCACGGGAAGAAAGGCGCCCACGGGUGGGUGUUUGCCGGUACCGUGCGAAUAAGGAUCGGCUAACUCCGUGCCAGCAGCCGCGGUAAUACGGAGGAUCCGAGCGUUAUCCGGAUUUAUUGGGUUUAAAGGGUGCGUAGGCGGGACAUUAAGUCAGUGGUGAAAUUCUGGGGCUCAACUUCAGGACUGCCAUUGAUACUGAUGUUCUUGAGUACAGUAGAGGUAGGCGGAACGUGGUAUGUAGCGGUGAAAUGCGUAGAUAUGCCACUGAACACCGAUUGCGAAGGCAGCUUACUAUAGUGUCACUGACGCUGAUGCACGAAAGCGUGGGUAUCAAACAGG
rnacentral:rRNA from 1 species